rnacentral:rRNA from 1 species
GAUGAACGCUGGCGGCGUGCCUUAUACAUGCAAGUCGAGUGGGUUUAGACCCACGGCAAACGGGUGAGUAACACGUAGGUACUUUCCUUGUCACAGGAAUAACCCUCCGAAAGGAGGGCUAAUACCUGAUGUGAUCGCAAGAUUAAAGGGUAUCCGCAAGGAUUACCGGACAAGAAGAGGCCUGCGGCCUAUCAGCUAGUUGGCGGGGUAAAUGCCCACCAAGGCUAUGACGGGUAGCUGGUCGUAUGAGGAUGAUCAGUCACAUGGGCACUGAGACACGGGCCCAACUCCUACGGGAGGCAGCAGUAGGGAAUUUUGCGCAAUGGGCGAAAGCCUGACGAAGCGACGCCGCGUGAGAGAUGAAGGCCUUCGGGUCGUAAACCGCUUUUAUAAGGGACGAACUUUGACGGUACCUUAUGAAUAAGAGGUUGCUAACUCUGUG